UACGGGGGGGGCAAGCGUUGUUCGGAAUUACUGGGCGUAAAGGGCUUGUAGGUGGCCAACUAAGUCAGACGUGAAAUCCCUCAGCUUAACUGGGGAACUGCGUCUGAUACUGGAUGGCUUGAGUUGGAGAGGGAUGCGGAAUUCCAGGUGUAGCGUGAAAUGCGUAGAUAUCUGGAGGAACACCGGUGGCGAAGGCGCACUCCGUGGACCACACUGACACUGAGGAGCAGAAAGCCG
rnacentral:rRNA from 1 species